AGCGCAACCCUUUCUUUUUGUUGCCAGCCAUUUGGUCGGGAACUCAAAGGAGACUGCCGUUGAUAAAGCGGAGGAAGGUGGGGAUGACGUCAAGUCAUCAUGGCCCUUACGACCAGGGCUACACACGUGCUACAAUGGCGUAUACAAAGGGAAGCGAAGGUGCGAGAUCGAGCGGAUCUCAUAAAGUACGUCUAAGUUCGGAUUGGAGUCUGCAACUCGACUCCAUGAAGUCGGAAUCGCUAGUAAUCGUAGAUCAGAAUGCUACGGUGAAUACGUUCCCGGGCCUUGUACACACCGCCCGUCACACCAUGGGAGUGGGUUGCACCAGAAGUAGAUAGCUUAACCGUGAGGGGGGCGUUUACCACGGUGUGAUUCAUGACUGGGGUGAAGUCGUAACAAGGUAACCA
rnacentral:rRNA from 1 species